CAACCCUCAAGCUCUGCUUGGUAUUGGAUGUCACCCUGCAUUUUGUGGUGCACCUCAAAAUCAGUAGCGGUGCCUCUUGGCCUCAAGUGUAGUAAAUUUUCUCGCUUUGGAGGUUUGGAUGUGUACCUGCUAACAAAAAUAACUUUUCUAAU
rnacentral:misc_RNA from 1 species